rnacentral:rRNA from 1 species
UAAGACGGAGGGCGCAAGCGUUGUUCGGAAUUACUGGGCGUAAAGGGCGGGCAGGCGGUCCGUUAAGUCUUCUGUGAAAAUCCGGGGCUCAACCCCGUGAAAUGCAGGAGAUACUGGCGGACUAGAGACCGGUAGAGGCUAGCGGAAUGGUGGAAUGCGUAGAUAUCAGGAAGAACACCUGUGGCGAAGGCGGCUAGCUGGGCCGGAUCUGACGCUCAUCCGCGAAAGCGUGGGGAGCAAACAGGAUUAGAUACCCUGGUAGUCCACGCCGUAAACGAUGGGCACUAGGUACUGGGUCUAUAGACGGAUUCAGUGCCGCAGCUAACGCAUUAAGUGCCCCGCCUGGGGAGUACGGUCGCAAGGCUG